GCCCCGGUAGUAUAGCUCGGUCAAGUAUGUGGGCCUUUCGAGCCUGCGACCCGGGUUCAAAUCCCGGCCGGGGCA
rnacentral:tRNA from 2 species